ACCUUGUUCUUCGCAACGAGCUCCUUCCUUUUGCUCAAUCCCCACAAUCGCAUCCUCUUAUUGAAGCUCUAUGCAAUAAUAACAAGACAAGGUUUCCAAUAUAUUGGGAUGAACUUGUUGGAACUGCAGAAGGAAGUGGUGUUCCUAUUCUUGAGGUAAUCGUACAAAUGUAGAGAGAAUUUUUAGCAUUGACUUGAUAGAUGAGUUGCUAUUGCUAGCUUUAGAAAAUGGAGUAAAAAAGAGGUACAAGUGUGGAAAUAAUACCUGGUUUCUGUUCUGUCUAUGAUGUCUUUGUUGAAAAUCAAUAUGCAGAUUGUCCUAAUCAACUUCAGGAAGGAGAUUCUUCCGUUUCUUCAGAAGGAAGUACCUUCAUCAGUUGAUUGCUCAGAUGAUUGUUCUGAUCUUCUUCUUGUUAGUGAUAACAUGGCCAUUGCAGCACAUAAUGAAGAUGCCAACAAUGCUCUGGUUGGCCACACGUAAGUUCACAAACCUGAACUUCAUUGCA
rnacentral:lncRNA from 1 species